GGGGAUUUAGCUCAGUGGUAGAGCGCUUGCCUAGCAAGCGCAAGGCCCUGGGUUCGGUUCCCCGCUCCA
rfam:Rattus norvegicus chromosome X, whole genome shotgun sequence.